GUGCCCCCUGGGGCAGCACAUACGUUAACAUCGGAACAAUACAGAGGUAAGCACGGCCCCCACGCAAGGAUGACCCUCGGGCUGGUGGACUGUUGCAAGUCUCU
ensembl:snRNA U6 U6 spliceosomal RNA